UACGUAGGGGGCAAGCGUUGUCCGGAUUUAUUGGGCGUAAAGAGCGUGUAGGCGGCCAGACAGGUCAGCUGUGAAAACUCGAGGCUCAACCUCGAGACGUCGGUGGAAACCGUUUGGCUAGAGUCCGGAAGAGGAGAGUGGAAUUCCCGGUGUAGCGGUGAAAUGCGCAGAUAUCGGGAAGAACACCCGUGGCGAAGGCGACUACCUGGCCUGUUCUUGACGCUGAGGCGGCGAAAGCUAGGGGAGCAACGGG
rnacentral:rRNA from 1 species